rnacentral:tRNA from 1 species
AGGACAGUAGCUCAAUAGGUAGAGUAGCGGUCUCCAAAACCGUCGGUUGGGGGUUCGAGUCCCUCCUGUCCUGCCA